rnacentral:rRNA from 1 species
AGCAGUCGCCGCGGGAAUACGAAGGGGGCUAGCGUUGCUCGGAAUUACUGGGCGUAAAGGGAGCGUAGGCGGAUCGUUAAGUUGGGGGUGAAAGCCCGGGGCUCAACCUCGGAACUGCCUUCAAUACUGGCGAUCUUGAGUAUGAGAGAGGUGUGUGGAACUCCGAGUGUAGAGGUGAAAUUCGUAGAUAUUCGGAAGAACACCAGUGGCGAAGGCGACACACUGGCUCAUUACUGACGCUGAGGCUCGAAAGCGUGGGUAGCAAACAGGAUUAGAUACCCCAGUAGUCCCUGUCUCUUAUAC